CCUGUUAUGAGAGAGAGAGAAAGCAGACAUUUACUGUCUAGGUUGAGUAUUAGCAAGUCACAAGUUGGACUAGCAACAAUACGCUGCAGUGUACCUUCUUUCCCCAAAGGUGUUUCUGUUCAGGAUUUCAGGCUGCAGAAGCGGUUACUGAAGACAGAAAUGCAGUGACGUUCUAUGUAAAUAAAAUGGUUUUGCAAGCA